rnacentral:rRNA from 1 species
AAUGAACGCUGGCGGCGUGCUUUACACAUGCAAGUCGAGCGAGGCCACCCGCAAGGGUGAGUCGAGCGGCGAACGGGUGAGGAAUACAUGGGUAACCUACCCUAGAGUGGGGAAUAACUAGCCGAAGGUUAGCUAAUACCGCGUACGCUCCUUGGACUUCGGUUCAGGGAGGAAAGCGAUGCCGAGGGUAUCGCGCUCUUGGAUGGGCUCAUGUCCUAUCAGCUUGUUGGGAGGUAACGGCUCACCAAGGCUUCGACGGGUAGCUGGUCUGAGAGGACGAUCAGCCACACUGGCACUGAGACACGGCCCAGACUCCUACGGGAGGCAGCAGUGGGAAUCUUGCGCAAUGCGCGAAAGCGUGACGCAGCAACGCCGCGU